rnacentral:rRNA from 1 species
AUUGAACGCUGGCGGCAUGCCUUACACAUGCAAGUCGAACGGCAGCACGGGUGCUUGCCCCUGGUGGCGAGUGGCGAACGGGUGAGUAAUACAUCGGAACAUGUCCUGUAGUGGGGGAUAUCCCGGCGAAAGCCGGAUUAAUACCGCAUACGAUCUACGGAUGAAAGCGGGGGACCUUCGGGCCUCGCGCUAUAGGGUUGGCCGAUGGCUGAUUAGCUAGUUGGUGGGGUAAAGGCCUACCAAGGCGACGAUCAGUAGCUGGUCUGAGAGGACGACCAGCCACACUGGGACUGAGACACGGCCCAGACUCCUACGGGAGGCAGCAGUGGGGAAUUUUGGACAAUGGGCGAAAGCCUGAUCCAGCAAUGCCGCGUGUGUGAAGAAGGCCUUCGGGUUGUAAAGCACUUUUGUCCGGAAAGAAAUCCUUGGCCCUAAUACGGUCGGGGGAUGACGGUACCGGAAGAAUAAGCACCGGCUAACUACGUG